AUUGAACGCUGGCGGCAUGCCUUACACAUGCAAGUCGAACGGUAACGGGCCUUCGGGUGCCGACGAGUGGCGAACGGGUGCGUAAUACAUCGGAACGUGCCCGAUCGUGGGGGAUAACGAGGCGAAAGCUUUGCUAAUACCGCAUACGAUCUACGGAUGAAAGCAGGGGACCGCAAGGCCUUGCGCGGACGGAGCGGCCGAUGGCAGAUUAGGUAGUUGGUGGGAUAAAAGCUUACCAAGCCGACGAUCUGUAGCUGGUCUGAGAGGAUGAUCAGCCACACUGGGACUGAGACACGGCCCAGACUCCUACGGGAGGCAGCAGUGGGGAAUUUUGGACAAUGGGCGCAAGCCUGAUCCAGCCACGCCGCGUGCAGGAUGAAGGCCUUCGGGUUGUAAACUGCUUUUGUACGGAACGAAAAGCCUUCUUUUAAUACAGGAGGGUCAUGACGGUACCGUAAGAAUAAGCACCGGCUAACUACGUG
rnacentral:rRNA from 1 species